rnacentral:rRNA from 1 species
UACAGAGGUCUCAAGCGUUGUUCGGAAUCACUGGGCGUAAAGGGUGCGUAGGCGGCGAAGAAAGUCGGAUGUGAAAUUUGAGGGCUCAACCCUCAACUAGCAUCUGAUACUACUUUGCUAGAGAUUUGGAGAGGAGCUUGGAAUUCUCGGUGUAGCAGUGAAAUGCGUAGAUAUCGGGAGGAACACCAGUGGCGAAGGCGGUUGCCUGGGGCUUUGCUGACGCUGAUGCGCGAAAGCGUGGGGAGCGAGUCCGG